rnacentral:rRNA from 1 species
GAUGAACGCUGGCGGUAUGCUUAACACAUGCAAGUCGAACGGACUCUUCGGAGUUAGUGGCGGACGGGUGAGUAACGCGUGAGAAUCUGGCUUUGGGUUCGGGACAACCACUGGAAACGGUGGCUAAUACCGGAUGUGCCGAGAGGUAAAAGAGAAAUUGCCUGAAGAUGAGCUCGCGUCUGAUUAGCUAGUUGGUGAGGUAAAGGCUCACCAAGGCAGCGAUCAGUAGCUGGUCUGAGAGGAUGACCAGCCACACUGGGACUGAGACACGGCCCAGACUCCUACGGGAGGCAGCAGUGGGGAAUUUUCCGCAAUGGGCGAAAGCCUGACGGAGCAAUACCGCGUGAGGGAAGAAGGCUCUUGGGUUGUAAACCUCUUUUCUUAGGGAAGAGCAAAAUGACGGUACCUAAGGAAUCAGCAUCGGCUAACUCCGUG